GACAGAGGUGCCGAGCGUUAGGCGGAAUCACUGGGCUUAAAGCGUGUGUAGGCGGGCCGUUAAGUGCCCCGUGAAAUCCCCCGGCUCAACCGGGGAACGGCGGGGCAUACUGGCGGCCUUGAGCCACUUAAGGGCAGACGGAACAAGCGGUGGAGCGGUGAAAUGCGUAGAUAUCAGGAGGAACACCAAUGGCGAAGGCAGCUCGCUGGAACGGUACUGACGCUGAGACGCGAAAGCGUGGGGAGCGAACAGG
rnacentral:rRNA from 1 species